rnacentral:rRNA from 1 species
CAAUAGCGUAUAUUAAAGUUGUUGCAGUUAAAAAGCUCGUAGUUGAAAGUGGGGUAAUUAGGAUGAGGUGAAUCGCAAGAUUGGACGUUAUUCUGUUACCCAGAAAAGGGGAAGGCUGGCUUGGGGUGACUGAGUGAUUGGGAGCACCCAGACAGGAAAAACUGACCCGUAGUUACUGUGAAGAAAUUAGAGUGUUUAAAGCAAGUAAGAAUAGCUUGAAUAGGCCAGCAUGGAAUAACAAGAUAGGACAUUGAGAGCCUCUUGUUGGUUUGGGGACGAAUGUAAUGAUUAAUAGGGCCAGUUGGGGGCAUUAGUAUUUAGUAGUCAGAGGUGAAAUUCUUGGAUUUACUAAAGACUAACUAGUGCGAAAGCAUUUGCCAAGGAUGGUUUCAUUAA